AUGGAACAGGAAUCAUCAAGCAAAGUGGUAAGUGGUGAGGCCAGAAACUGGGCAAGUCCAGGGGUCUUUCCUUCAAAAGAUGCUGUAGAAUUCAUGGGAGAGGACUCCUUGGGAUCAGGAAUGAUUGAGUUCACUGGGACAAUGUGGAAAGAAGCAGAGGAGCUGAGAGAAGAUAGAAAUAAAACAUAGAAUCAUGGAAUCAUAGAAUCAUUAAGGAUCGAAAAGACCUCUAAGAUCAUCUAGUACAGCUGUCAACCCAUCACCACCAUGCCCACUAACCAUGUCCCUAAGUGACCUUACCAUUUCCCUGAACAGCCUAUUUCAGUUCCUGACCACUCUGUCUAAGAAGAUAUAAGAAAAUACAGAAAGAAAGAGGGCAUGUCACAUAGGUGGAAAUGCUUGGAUUCAGCAUAAGUUUCUCCAUCAGAGCUACCAGCCCUGAGGUCCCUCUGCAGCCACAGGGAGCAGCUCUGCAGAGCCUGGGAAGUCUUCAAUCAGACAAACCCACCCUAAACCAUCUUCUUCCAGAACAGAGGGAACAUAAAGCCUUCUCCAUCUGCCCAGCUCUUUGGAACACAAGUGUGCCCAUGUACUGGUACCCAAAACAGUGUAUCAAAGGGCUUCCCUGCUCCUCAGCCCCAGGGUGAUGCUCCUGCCCUGUUCCUGAUCCCAGCCAGCCUCAAGGAGCUGGGAUUCUGCAAGAAAAGCUGGAGGGACAACAUGAGUAAGACUGUUCCCAAGAAGCAAUUUAGAUGGACCUACCCCAAAGGCCACAAGAAUGGGGCCACUGGGAUUGAGGAUGGAAGGUAAAGAGGUUAGCAGGACUAAAAGGAGCUGUGCCAUUCACCUGACCCCAGAGCCAGCAAAGAGUUCUUGGAACCAUAGAAUCAUUUGAGUUGGAAGGAACCUUUAAAGGUUGUCUAGUCCAAUUCCCCUGCAAUGAUAAGGGGCACUUACAGAUAGAUCAUCUUGGUGGUUCUUAGAAGUAGAAUGACAGCAGUGAAGACAGAGGGCUGUGCUUCAUCCAUCAGUGACUCUGGGGUUACUAAACCCACCAGAUCCCAUUCAACACAAGCCCAAUCCCAGUGACACCAACACAAGAAGCCCUUUUGACUAUAGGGUGUUAUAGAAAGACAUCCUACAAGGCUCUUCUCUCCCUCAGACUGCUUCUUCUGCCUCAGUGCUAUCCUGGAGCAUGAGGAAAAAAAAAAGAAAACACCUUCAAACAGAAACUAAUCCUUUUGCAAACUGCCCUGAAUUAGGACCUAAAGAAAGCGUCUGGCUCAGAAGUACAGCACUUGCCUCGAGCUCCCAGGCUGUGAAGGAAACAGAGGGAUAUCACUGAAGCUGAUGUUCUGCAGAGCUGGCCAUGCCCCAGCACACUUAUUGGUGUGCUGAGUUGGGGAGGGCUUUGCUUCCAGCACAGGAGGGUUAUCAAGGGAUUUGCUGCUGUUGCAAAACUUUUGCAUGGAUUGGGAGGGAGAGGGAGAGGUUUUUCCAGCUGUCAGCAGAGCACGAUUUAGCAUCCGCAGAGUUGAAAAUGACCCUUGUGAUUAGACUUACUUUAGGGGACCUGGAUUUCAGAUUUCCCUGUGUGUUGGAUAUGGACACUUGUGCUUGUUGCAUGGGGGAGGGUUACUUGGGAACACAAAGGGUACAAAAGCCAUUACUCCAGAGGGAAAAGACUACACUGCUCACAGCUGUAAUUAAAUGCCUCCUGUGAAUUCACCAGCU
rnacentral:lncRNA from 1 species